AUUGAACGCUGGCGGCAGGCCUAACACAUGCAAGUCGAGCGGUAACAGGAAAUAGCUUGCUAUUUUGCUGACGAGCGGCGACGGGUGAGUAACGCGUAGGAAUUUGCCCAGUAGUGGGGGAUAGCCCGGAGAAAUUCGGAUUAAUACCGCAUACGCCCUAAGGGGGAAAGCAGGGGAUCUUCGGACCUUGCGCUAUUGGAUAAGCCUGCGUGAGAGUUAGCUAGUUGGUGAGGUAAGGGCUCACCAAGGCGACGAUCUCUAGCUGGUCUGAGAGGAUGAUCAGCCACACUGGAACUGAGACACGGUCCAGACUCCUACGGGAGGCAGCAGUGGGGAAUAUUGCACAAUGGGCGAAAGCCUGAUGCAGCCAUGCCGCGUGUGUGAAGAAGGCUCUAGGGUUGUAAAGCACUUUCAGUAGGGAGGAAAAGUCGAUAGUUAAUACCUAUCGGCCGUGACGUUACCUACAGAAGAAGCACCGGCUAACUCCGUG
rnacentral:rRNA from 1 species